rnacentral:rRNA from 1 species
CCUACGGGCGGCAGCAGUGGGGAAUAUUGGACAAUGGGGGGAACCCUGAUCCAGCCAUGCCGCGUGUGUGAAGAAGGCCCUCGGGUUGUAAAGCACUUUCAGUGAGGAAGAACGCCUGGUGGUUAAUACCCAUCAGGAAAGACAUCACUCACAGAAGAAGCACCGGCUAACUCCGUGCCAGCAGCCGCGGUAAUACGGAGGGUGCGAGCGUUAAUCGGAAUUACUGGGCGUAAAGCGCGCGUAGGUGGCUUGAUAAGCCGGUUGUGAAAGCCCCGGGCUGAACCUGGGAACGGCAUCCGGAACUGUCAAGCUAGAGUGCAGGAGAGGAAGGUAGAAUUCCCGGUGUAGCGGUGAAAUGCGUAGAGAUCGGGAGGAAUACCAGUGGCGAAGGCGGCCUUCUGGACUGACACUGACACUGAGGUGCGAAAGCGUGGGUAGCAAACAGGAUUAGAUACCCCUGUAGUC